rnacentral:tRNA from 1 species
AUUUAUAUAGUUUAACAAAAACAUUACAUUUUCAUUGUAAAAUUAAAAAAUUUUUUUUUAUAAAUUA